rnacentral:rRNA from 1 species
UACGUAGGGCGCAAGCGUUGUCCGGAAUUAUUGGGCGUAAAGAGCUCGUAGGUGGUUUGUCGCGUCUGCCGUGAAAGCCCGGGGCUUAACUCCGGGUCUGCGGUGGAUACGGGCAGACUAGAGGCAGGUAGGGGAGAACGGAAUUCCCGGUGUAGCGGUGAAAUGCGCAGAUAUCGGGAGGAACACCAAUGGCGAAGGCAGCACUCUGGGACGUGACUGACGCUGAGACGCGAAAGCGUGGGGAGCAAACAGG